AAGUAUAGCCAUAGAGGGUGAUAGUCCCGUAUGCGAAAAACAAACCUUAGCUAGCAGUAUCCUGAGUAGGGCGGGACACGAGAAAUCCUGUCUGAAGCUGGGUCGACCACGAUCCAACCCUAAAUACUAAUACCAGAUCGAUAGUGCACAAGUACCGUGAGGGAAAGGUGAAAAGAACUGAGGUGAUCAGAGUGAAAUAGAACCUGAAACCAUUUGCUUACAAUCAUUCAGAGCCCUAUGUAGCAAUACAGGGUGAUGGACUGCCUUUUGCAUAAUGAGCCUGCGAGUUGUGGUGUCUGGCAAGGUUAAGCAAACGCGAAGCCGUAGCGAAAGCGAGUCUGAAUAGGGCGCUUAGUCAGAUGCUGCAGACCCGAAACGAAGUGAUCUAUCCAUGAGCAAGUUGAAGCUAGUGUAAGAACUAGUGGAGGACUGAACCCAUAGGCGUUGAAAAGCCCCGGGAUGACUUGUGGAUAGGGGUGAAAGGCCAAUCAAACUUCGUGAUAGCUGGUUCUCUCCGAAAUAUAUUUAGGUAUAGCGUUGUGUCGUAAUAUAAGGGGGUAGAGCACUGAAUGGGCUAGGGCAUACACCAAUGUACCAAACCCUAUCAAACUCCGAAUACCUUAUAUGUAAUCACAGCAGUCAGGCGGCGAGUGAUAAAAUCCGUCGUCAAGAGGGAAACAACCCAGACUACCAGCUAAGGUCCCUAAAUCUUACUUAAGUGGAAAACGAUGUGAAGUUACUUAAACAACCAGGAGGUUGGCUUAGAAGCAGCCAUCCUUUAAAGAAAGCGUAAUAGCUCACUGGUCUAGUGAUUUUGCGCGGAAAAUAUAACGGGGCUAAAGUAAGUACCGAAGCUGUAGACUUGCGCACAACUUAGAUUAUUUAAGUUUAGAAUAUGAGAAACUAAGUUAUAUGUUUAGUUAUAUUUUUACUGAUUUUUAUAGAGUAAAGAUAGAAAUAAAACUUAGUAAAAUCAGUAAAAAUAUUCUUAGACUAAAGUUAAGUAGUUUAAGUUGUGUGCAAGUGGUAGGAGAGCGUUCUAUUUGCGUCGAAGGUAUACCGGUAAGGAGUGCUGGAGCGAAUAGAAGUGAGCAUGCAGGCAUGAGUAGCGAUAAUUAAUGUGAGAAUCAUUAACGCCGUAAACCCAAGGUUUCCUACGCGAUGCUCGUCAUCGUAGGGUUAGUCGGGUCCUAAGUCGAGUCCGAAAGGGGUAGACGAUGGCAAAUUGGUUAAUAUUCCAAUACCAACAUUAGUGUGCGAUGGAAGGACGCUUAGGGCUAAGGGGGCUAGCGGAUGGAAGUGCUAGUCUAAGGUCGUAGGAGGUUAUACAGGCAAAUCCGUAUAACAAUACUCCGAGAACUGAAAGGCUUUUUGAAGUCUUCGGAUGGAUAGAAGAACCCCUGAUGCCGUCGAGCCAAGAAAAGUUUCUAAGUUUAGCUAAUGUUGCCCGUACCGUAAACCGACACAGGUGGGUGGGAUGAGUAUUCUAAGGCGCGUGGAAGAACUCUCUUUAAGGAACUCUGCAAAAUAGCACCGUAUCUUCGGUAUAAGGUGUGGUUCGCUUCGUAUUAGGAUUUACUCCGAAAGCGAAGAAACUUACAACAAAGAGUCCCUCCCGACUGUUUACCAAAAACACAGCACUCUGCUAACUCGUAAGAGGAUGUAUAGGGUGUGACGCCUGCCCGGUGCUCGAAGGUUAAUUGAUGGGGUUAGCAUUAGCGAAGCUCUUGAUCGAAGCCCGAGUAAACGGCGGCCGUAACUAUAACGGUCCUAAGGUAGCGAAAUUCCUUGUCGGUUAAAUACCGACCUGCAUGAAUGGCGUAACGAGAUGGGAGCUGUCUCAAAGAGGGAUCCAGUGAAAUUGUAGUGGAGGUGAAAAUUCCUCCUACCCGCGGCAAGACGGAAAGACCCCGUGGACCUU
rnacentral:rRNA from 1 species